UUAAAUAGAGGGUGAGAAGUGUGCAUAGC
rnacentral:piRNA from 1 species